UUAUUAUGAAUGAUCUUACCAUGAACGCCUACAUGUGUUACAUGUUAGUUUAAGUGUCUGUUUAGUUCAUCAAUUUCAUUUGUCGAUUUAGCUAAAAUAGGCCAAUCAUCUCAAUGCAAAUAUGAUUAGGCUAGUUGAUAUCGCAGCUACCAUUACUGUGUAGAUAUGCCUAUUGCAUCAACACAAACGCAAGGGCUUCUUGGUAGCCUAGUGGUUAGCGUUGGGCCAUCAUCGUUAGAUUGCUAGAUUGAAUCCCAAAGCUGACAAUAAACUUUUUUUGUCGUUUUUCCCGAGUAAGGCAGUUAACCCACUGUUCCCUGAGCGAUGAAUAUGUGGAUUUCGAUCAAGGCAGCCCCCCGCACCUCCUCUGAUUCAGAGGGGUUGGGUUAAAUGCGGAAGACACAUUUCAGUUGAAUGUAUUCAGUUGUACAACUGAGUACAGUAGGUAUCCCCCUUUCAUUUUCUUUGUUGGGGGUAGUCUAGGUCUCUAGUGGGGCAUUCAAAACAACUCGGAAGUCAGUAACUUCUGAUCUUCCGACUUCAGUGCGUUCAAGACAACUGGGAACUCUGAAAAAAACGAGUUCAGACUGGGAUAAUUUGACCUCGUUUUCCCCCACUUCCCAGUUUACCGGAUUAACAGACACAAUGACUGUCAUCAUGCAAUCCUUCUACUAUAACUUUCUGUGGAGAUGUCUUAUGGUUAAAAGCAGGGUUCAUAUGUUUUCAUUUUAAACAGGCAGUCCCUUACCUACACUGAAAUAGUUUUUGCCCUCAAUUAUGAUUUAAAAAAAAUCAUAGCUCAUUAGUACACCCUUGUGGUUGUCUAUUGUAUGUCUUACGAUACAAUUAACAAUGUUGAAUGAACAAAUACCAUCAAGGGAUACGAUACAAUUUACAAUAACGAACACCUUAUGAAACAGCUGUGAAAACCAAUCUAGCAAUAUUUUACAUUUAAAUACAUAACCAUUGAUCUUUUUUGGUAGAUGUGUGUCGAUUUACUUUCAGAUUUUUUUGUAACUCACUUGGUAAUCAUAGACUGAAAUACAGAAUUCUGGUGUGGAAUAGAGAGGAGGUGGGUCUUGUGUGGAUGGGAGGUUCUGCCUGUCACUUGUUUUUCAACAGGUAGUGGACUCUAAGAGGGAAACUGCAGUCCAGGCACUGCUGCCCUCUUUGUUCUGAGUGUUUGCAGUGUUUUUAGCUAAUCCGUGCAGCUCACAUUAUGUGCCCAGUAUGAUAGUUGUCUUGCUCUUUCUAAGCAGAUAAUGACAACUUGACAAUAACAGUUGCUGAUGUAAUGAAAAGUUGGAGGGUGGUUGGUAAUGGAGGACAUCAGGUGGAUCCAUGUCUGGGUGUUGGGCAGGACCCCUAGGUCCUAGAGAACAGGAGCAGAGGAAAGGGAACAGGGUAGGAGGCAGACGUAAACAAGCAAACACACGUUAAAUGAUUAUCAGGUAUGUAAAAAUUGUUAUUGAAUGAUUGAAUUUAAUGUUUGAUGAGACAUGCAAUAAUGUUAAUGGCAGACAGAAAAGAAAGGAUAUCUGUCUAAUUUUUGAUGUCAUUGGGGUUGGUAAGGGAUGGUCCCUGAAAAAGAUAGAGAUGAGUUGUGAGAGAAACUCCAGGGUGGUAUCAUGACCACUGGAGUCAUACACCUUAACAGUACCUACCUGGAAGUGGCGGUUACUUAACGAGACCCAAUGGUUAGCCUUGAGACUGACUAUUUGGAGAAACCCCUGAGCCAGCGCUGGUAUUUCUGACAGCAUGGCUAUGCCGCCCAACACGAGGCAGCAAAUGCAAAUAGUUAUCUGAGAUUUUUAUAUUCACCUUAAUGGAUGUUGACCCCAGCUAGGAGCGAAAGAGCACCAAGCUUUCCCGGGUCUCGUCUUCCUUUCGUCCUUCUUCCAAGCCAAGUCAUUCACCUAGAUGUCGAAGUACUUGGUCCCCUUGAUUCUUCUCAGGUGGCUCUCCUCCUCAUGCGCCCUGUCCAUGUUCAGUCUCACCUUGAUAAAUAAUAUAAAUAAAUGCAAUUAUAUAUAUCUUGGAAGGCAAGAAAAUAAAUUAACAGCGGACAAUAAUUUUCACCUGGUCAAAAACCACCACAUCCUUCUCAGUCCGUGCCUGAAGGUGGUUUUCGAAGGCGUUCUGAUCUGGUUCAAAGUACGUUUAUACAAAAACAGCAAAAGAAAAACACUAAGUCAAUCAAAAAAAAAGUAUACUACAGUAUAUGCAAUAAUGUUAUAUACAUGCAUUGUUUAUGUCAGCUAACUGCUGCGGCUCCCCUCCAUAUAGCAGGCGAUAGAGUGAAUACUCUGGAGGCCUGGACACUGCUGUGUUGUGUGAAAAGAUAAUUACCUUCAGAUUGUCCUUCCACCUUUCCUGGUACCCGUCAAGGGACUUUCCCAUGGCAGUCCCGUUGGUCCGUUCAUCCAAAUGUGGAGUCACCAUACAUCGACACAUUCACAUUAUAUAUAAAACUCACUGUACUAUCAGUGUCAAUUUCGGGGGGAAAAAACUAAAUUACAGUACGCCUAUGCAAAACAAUGCUACUGUGAACUUCCUGGUCCCGUCCCUCUAGUCAGUGAUUCACCACAGGAAGGAGUAAUGGAUGUAUAGUUUAUUUAUUUAUAUAUUUGCAAAGCUGCAGUCCCACACGGUGAGCGAUAGAAAACCGAUCGUGCAAAUGUCACCAUUCCGAUUUUUUUUGUGCGGGAGCCCCGUGCCACCCCCGGCAAGAUGCCGCCCUGGGCGGCUGCCCAUGUCGCCAAUACCUAAAUCCGCCACUGUGUGUGUUUGCAAAUGAUGGAGUGAGUGUUUGUGUAUGUGUUUGAGUGACAGUCUGUGUGAGUGUCUAUGGUCCUGGGAGUGUGCAUAGAGACAGUACAAAUACUGAAAUAAUUGUCAAAGAUACAGGGUAAACAUGCUUUAUUCAGUAUAUGUGUGAGAUAGAGAGAGGGGGGAGAGAAAUGAUGAUUAGGAUCACAAUAACUUACAGAAAAGAUUGUCAUCAUGUCAACUUUGUCAUGCUAGGUGUGUGUGUGUGUGUGUGUGUGUGUGAGAGAGAUGGUACAUGAAUACACAAAACAUUGAUUGUUUGUGUGUGUAAGACAGUAAGCUAGGCAAAUUCUUGAAACUUGUACCCCCAAUAUGGAAGUAAAGAUUUUCUUGAUUCAUCAGAUCCUUGUAUUUUUGUGUAUUUUGUAUUUGAGAAUACCGUACAUUUUGCCUAUCUCUGCUCCCCCUUAACACACAUUCUAACGUUACACCUUUCAACAUCCUUUGUCAAUUCUUGAUUCUCUGUUUUUGCAGGAAUCUUCUUUCUUGGGUGGAAGGAUGGAGGAGUGAACAAAGAGGAGUACAGAUGUUAUCCAGCCUGCUGACUAAGAAAUAUCCUGAAUUAUGUCAAUGGCCUGAUUCAUUGCCUCUACAGCUGUGCUUGGCCACCCCCUGAGUUACCAGUGACCUAUUCUGCCACAUCCCAGGGAAAGGAGAGGGCAGAACCACCCCUCCUUAAAUCCAUACUCAUUGACAGUAAUAUUGAUGGUUGAUAUUCUGAUCUUCAAUGUGUAUAGAUUCCUACUAACCAGCUUUGUAAGAGCUACAGUAGGGUUGUACUAGCUAUGCUGAUGAUCAUGAUUUAUUUUUUUCCUCUGCAUCAGGUCUCACUGAGACUGGAUUCCCCAAGAGGCAUGCUGUUCAGCUGCCCAUGAUUGUUUAAACUUACACUCUUAAGUUCUAGAUACCAUCUUUUUUUUCUAAGUGUUCAUCUGCUGUCUCCAUAGGAGAACCCUUUGAAGAACCCUUUUUGGUUCCAGGUAUAACUAUUUUGGGUUCCAUGUAGAACCCCACAGGGUUCUACCUGGAACCAAAGAGGGUUAUCCUACGGGGACAGCCAAAGAACCCUUUUGGAACACUUUUUUCUAAGAGUGUAGUGUAAGUAGAUCCAAUUGAAAUAGCACUUCUAAUAAUAUAAGAUUGUAAAGCAAAUCAAAUCCAAUUUAACUCGCCUUUUUUGUCAGGUGCAAAACCCUUGUGUCCUGAUUCCACAGGUACCUACCUCCCUUGUUGAGUCAUGUAAAGUUUAUCCCAUUUCUCUUCUGCUCAUUCUCUAUGUCGCGCACUCCAGUGGAGGCUCCUCAGAGGAGGAAGGGGAGGGCCAUCCUUCCCUGUCAAUGAGGGGAUUGUGUCGCUGGAGCCAGGAGAAUCCCAAUAUCACGGGAACCUGAGGAGACUUAAUGAGCAGGAACUGGAUCGUCUCGCUGUGGUUCCCUGACACAUGACCUGAGCCCAAAGAUGAUGUCUCAGGUCUACCUGGCCUGAUGACUCCUGGCUGUCCAUAGUCCACCUGGUCGUGCUGCUCCAGUUUCAUCUGUUCUGCCUGCGGCUGGGAACCCUGACCUUUUCACCGGACGUGCUACCUUGUCCCAGACCUGCUGUUUUCAUCUCUCUCUCUCUACCGCACCUGCUGUCUCAACCUCUGAAUGCUUGUCUAUGAAAAGCCAACUGACAUUUACUCCUGAGGUACUGACCUGUCGCACCCUCUACAACCACUGAUUAUUGGUAGAUCCUCAUCAAGGACCUCUGAGGACAGAAUGCGAUCUGUAGCGUAGUAACCCUCUUGGAGAGUCAUGUGAUUGGUCAGAUCUGCAGUGAAGAGAAUCAGCCCAUUACAACUUUAUAAACACCUGCACAGGAUCGGUACAUCCGAACAUCACACCUGCGGGACAGGUACAGGAUGGCAACAACAACUUCCCGAGUUACACCAGGAACGCACAAUCCCUACAUCAGUGCUCAGACUGUCCGCAAUAGGCAGAGAGAGGCUGGACUGAGGGCAUGUAGGCCUGUUGUAAGGCAGGUCCUCACCAGACAUCACCAGCAACAAUGUCGCCUAUGGGCAUAAACCCACCGUCGCUGAACCAGACAGGACUGGCAAAAAGUGCUCUUC